AACGAACGCUGGCGGCAUGCCUAACACAUGCAAGUCGAACGAGACCUUCGGGAAUAGUGGCGCACGGGUGGUUAACGCGGGGGAAGCUGCCCUUAGGUACGCAAUACCUCACUGAAAGGGGUGUUAAGACCGGUUAAUGUCUUCUGAGCAAAGAUUUAUCGCCUCUGGAUGGGCCCGGGUUGGUUUAGCUGGUUGGGAGGGUAAAAGCGUGCCAAGGCCACGAUACAUACCUGGUCGGAUAGGAUGAUCCCCCCCACUGGUACUGAGACACGGCCCAGACGCCUACGUGUUGCUGCAGUGGAUAGUAUUGGAGAUUGUGCUAAAGCCUGAUCCAGCAAUGGCGCGUGUGUUGUCAUGCCCUUAGGGUUGUAAAGCUCUUUUGCCCGUGUUGAUAAUGACGGUACCGGGAAAAUAAGCUCCGGCUAACUCCGUG
rnacentral:rRNA from 1 species